rnacentral:rRNA from 1 species
CCUACGGGUGGCUGCAGUGGGGAAUAUUGGACAAUGGGGGCAACCCUGAUCCAGCCAUGCCGCGUGUGUGAAGAAGGCCCUCGGGUUGUAAAGCACUUUCAGUGAGGAAGAACGCCUGGUGGUUAAUACCCAUCAGGAAAGACAUCACUCACAGAAGAAGCACCGGCUAACUCCGUGCCAGCAGCCGCGGUAAUACGGAGGGUGCGAGCGUUAAUCGGAAUUACUGGGCGUAAAGCGCGCGUAGGUGGCUUGAUAAGCCGGUUGUGAAAGCCCCGGGCUCAACCUGGGAACGGCAUCCGGAACUGGCAAGCUAGAGUGCAGGAGAGGAAGGUAGAAUUCCCGGUGUAGCGGUGAAAUGCGUAGAGAUCCGGAGGAAUACCAGUGGCGAAGGCGGCCUUCUGGACUGACACUGACACUGAGGUGCGAAAGCGUGGGUAGCAAACAGGAUUAGAUACCCCUGUAGUC